AUGGCUGAAGAGUUCAAUUAGACUGUGACUCUGGUGAGGAGUCUUACUGGGACUGGAACUCUGGAGGAGAGUUCCACUGAACUUGGACUCUACUAUUAAUAGAAAAUUAAUUAGUAAUUAGAUUACUAAUUGACUCAAUUUGAUUGAGUAAAAAAUUUUAGAUCAAGUCUAAUUGAAUUAGAUUCAGUUUGACUUAGAUUGGUU
rnacentral:lncRNA from 1 species